AGGAUGAACGCUGGCGGCGUGCCUAACACAUGCAAGUCGAACGUCCUGUCUCGCAAGAGGCAGGGAGUGGCGGACGGGUGAGUACCACGUGGGUCAUCUACCGUGAGGUGAGGAAUACCGGCGAGAAAUCGCCGACAAGACCGCAUAGCCUCGGUGCAAGUCGAGGAAAGCUCUCUCGAGAGAGGGAGCGCCACACGAGGAGCCUGCGCCCGAUUAGCUAGCUGGUGGAGUAAUGGUUCACCAGGGCGACGAUCGGUAGCUGGUCUGAGAGGACGAUCAGCCACACUGGGAUUGAGAACGGCCCAGACUCCUACGGGGGGCAGCAGUGAGGAAUUUUCGUCAAUGGGGGCAACCCUGAACGAGCAACGCCGCGUGCAGGAGAAGGUUUUCGGAUCGUAAACUGCUUUUCUCGGGAAGAGAACGGACGGUACCCGAGGAAUCAGCCCCGGCUAACUACGUGCCAGCAGCCGCGGU
rnacentral:rRNA from 1 species